UCUCUUGACUUCCUUCUCCUGUUCUGUGCCGCUUUCUCAACUCUCUCUACAUACUCUAGUAAUCCAUUUUUAUUUUUAUUUUUGAAAGAAAUGGGAUCUGAAAUGAAUCCAUUGAGAGAAUUAGAAGAUUUGACUUCAUCUCUUCUUUUGCAGAGACACAUCAAGUGAAAUCAUAGAUCCGUUUAAUUUCUGUUAAAGUGAAUGUAGAGAUUCAUUGAGGGUCAAGAACGAAAUGCAAGUAGGGAUUCACUGAGGACGAAGUGAUGAAAUCCAAAGAGGUUUCUGUUUUUGUAGGGAUUGUUUUAAAGAACUGAAAUGGUUGGAGUCAUUUCGUUUUGUUUUAAAAAAAACCCUAAAUCUUUGAACUCUCGAUCCAUCAAUAUGUGCACAGUGGGCAUAAAAUUCUGCUUAAAAUCUUCACCAAUUCGAAUCCCCAGUUCAUACUCAUCUUCUUCCCUUUCCAAGCUCAACAACCCCAAUCUCAUACGACCUUGAAAACCCCCAAAAUCUUUCGUUGCUGCUGCGUUGGAAGAAGUCUUCAAUCCAAUUACCCUAGAUUCAACACAACCCAACUGUUAUUGCAAAGAACCCCGCAAUUAUGAUCACUACCAUUAACAUCAACUCCAUUUGUCUUUACGGAUCUAUGAAGUCUCCAUCUCGAUUCGUCAGCGGCUGUUUGAAGAAUUGAUUCCCAAAAUAGGAACGAGUUUAAGGAUGUACAAGAGAGAACACCUCUGGAUAAAAAAAUGAAGAAUAAGGUAAAGCCUUCUGAAUCGAUUGCUGAAUUUUGCGGGGGGGAUUCCUUGUAAAUCUUACAUAUCUUCCCUGUGUAUGUUUAAGAUCUCUAUUGCUCAACGAGUUAGUGUUUUGGAGAUUUACUCUUACUAUGUUUAUUAUGUGAAUUUUACAAUUUUGUAAGUAUUAUCUGAUUAUUAGAGUUUUAAUUCAACUAAAACUAGGAAGUCCUGUUUGGUAGGAAUUCAUGUUUUAAUUCCUUGGACGUAUUCCCUUGAUUUCCAUAAUACUAACAAGUUGUUAGUAGUGUUGUUAGUUGUGUUUCUGUUAGGAAAGCCGACCAUUAAGGUUGUUAGUGGGACUAGAUAAUGGCCAGUAUCUUAGAUUGUUUUAAACAUGUAGUUGUGAUUGCAGCAUGUAGUUAGUGGGUAGAAGUCAUGUACUCAGAUCUCACCUAUGUAAUGGUGGUCAGCUUUUGACUUUAUGACAAUGAAAAACUUUGAAACAAUGUAGUCUUUCCUAGCAUUUUGAGUUUCUCUUUCUCUCUUCUUGAUCUCUGUCCUUGUUUUUCAACAUUGGUAAGUUUUUUUUGUUGCUUCCACUAGAUUUCUUUUAGCAAAUUGUUUGUAGGUUUCAAAUUUUGUUUGGUAUAUUUUCUUUUGUUUGACUAUUUAUUCCGUCUAGAUUUCCUCCAUUUAGUUUUGGCGAAAUCGGCCUGUUUAUUAUGUCAUUGUUGGCUAGCUGGUAUAAAUGUUUCUUGGAUCUAUUAAAGAAAAUCAGCUUUCAACGUGUUGAGCAAGUGCCUGGCAAUUGGUGCCGUUAGCUCAAAAUUACAAUAGUGUUGUUGUAAAUGAAAUUUAAUCUUGUCUAUUGACUCACAUGUAAGGCUAGUUAUUCAUUUAUCUCUGAUAUUGGGUAUUAAAUCUUAAAUUUACAUUUAAAUCUUUAGUUUGUGUAUGUUGAUUUUCUUAGGCAUAUCAUUUAAGUGGUGAUUAUCUUUUCAUAUGUAGAAGCCAGUACUCUCCCUCCCUGUUGCUGUAACACAUUAUUCUGGUAGUGUCUUAGUUCUGAUUAAUGUUGUUCUUAAUUGUUAUUAUCUGUGUGUAUCAUUUAGGUGAUCAUUAGGUUAUAGUAUCUCUUUUAAUUACUAUUAUCAGGUUAUUAAUAAGUUUAUAUAUAUAGACUUAUUUGCUCUCUUAUCCGUCGUAUUAAGCCUUGCAAUUAUUGAAAUGGUUCUCACAUGAUUUUGUUAACCUUAAUUGUUGUUUUCCAAUUUGAGUUGACUGGAAGUUAAUAAGCAAUGAACAAGUUCAAUUUUAAUACUUCAAUGCAUUCUUCAUGAAUUUGAAUGAACUUGUGUUCUUAAGUUGUGGUUUUAUGUCUUUAUCAAAUCUAACCAGGUUAAGAGGAAGGCAUUCAAUUCAAAUUGCUGGUUUUUGACUAAAAGGUAUCUACACAAAUUUUUUUCUUGUUGCUUUUCCUGUGUUUUACAGAGAACCUGUUGUCAUGUAAAUUUGAAGGUGCUAUUUUGUCACAAAUAGUUGUCUGUCAAUGUAUUUGGAAAUUGGCCUGU